GACGAACGCUGGCGGCGUGCUUAACACAUGCAAGUCGAACGCUGAAGCUCAGCUUUUGUUGGGUGGAUGAGUGGCGAACGGGUGAGUAACACGUGAGUAACCUGCCCCCUUCUUUGGGAUAACGCCCGGAAACGGGUGCUAAUACUGGAUAUUCACUGGUCUUCGCAUGGGGGCUGGUGGAAAGGGUUUUUCUGGUGGGGGAUGGGCUCGCGGCCUAUCGGCUUGUUGGUGGGGUGAUGGCCUACCAAGGCUUUGACGGGUAGCCGGCUUGAGAGGGUGACCGGAAACGUGGGAAGGGCGAGACGCCCAAGAGACGCACGGGAGGGGGAUGUGGGAAAAUGGGCGAAAGGGGGACAGACUGAUGCAGCGUCGCCGCGUGAGGGAUGGAGGCCUUCGGGUUGUGAACCUCUUUCGCUAAUGGUGAAGCCGAAACAAUGGUUGUGGUGAGGGUAGUGGGUAAAGAAGCGCCGGCUAACUACGUG
rnacentral:rRNA from 1 species